rnacentral:rRNA from 1 species
UACGGAGGGUGCAAGCGUUAAUCGGAAUUACUGGGCGUAAAGCGUGCGUAGGUGGUUGUUUAAGUCAGAUGUGAAAGCCCCGGGCUCAACCUGGGAAUGGCAUUUGAUACUGGGCAACUCGAGUUUGGGAGAGGCAAGUGGAAUUUCAGGUGUAGCGGUGAAAUGCGUAGAGAUCUGAAGGAACACCAGUGGCGAAGGCGGCUUGCUGGCCUAAAACUGACGCUGAGGCACGAAAGCAUGGGUAG